GACGAACGCUGGCGGCGUGCUUAACACAUGCAAGUCGUACGGUAAGGCCCUUUCGGGGGUACACGAGUGGCGAACGGGUGAGUAACACGUGAGUAACCUGCCCACAACUUUGGGAUAACGCUAGGAAACUGGUGCUAAUACUGGAAAUGUGCUCCUGCUGCAUGGUGGGGGUUGGAAAGCUCCGGCGGUUGUGGAUGGACUCGCGGCCUAUCAGCUUGUUGGUGGGGUAGUGGCCUACCAAGGCGGCGACGGGUAGCCGGCCUGAGGGGGUGACCGGCCACAUUGGGACUGAGAUACGGCCCAGACUCCUACGGGAGGCAGCAGUGGGGAAUAUUGCACAAGGGGCGCAAGCCUGAUGCAGCAACGCCGCGUGCGGGAUGACGGCCUUCGGGUUGUAAACCGCUUUCAGCAGGGACGAAGCUUUUUGUGACGGUACCUGCAGAAGAAGCACCGGCUAACUACGUG
rnacentral:rRNA from 1 species